GGGCAGCUGACACAUCCCAGCCAAUCUCCAGCAGACCCUCCCUCCCAGACCCUCCCACCACUUGGACAGCAUCCAUGUUGAAGCUGCCUUCAACAUGGAUGCUGUCCAGGAAGUAGGAGGGUCUGGGAGGGAGGGUCUGCUGGAGAUUGGCAGGGAUGUGUCAGCUG
rnacentral:miRNA from 1 species